rnacentral:rRNA from 1 species
UACGAAGGGGGCUAGCGUUACUCGGAUUGACUGGGCGUAAAGGGCGCGUAGGCGGUUUGUACAGUCAGACGUGAAAUUCCUGGGCUCAACCUGGGGGCUGCGUUUGAUACGUGUUGUCUUGAGUUCGGAAGAGGGUCGUGGAAUUCCCAGUGUAGAGGUGAAAUUCGUAGAUAUUGGGAAGAACACCGGUGGCGAAGGCGGCGACCUGGUCCGACACUGACGCUGAGGCGCGAAAGCGUGGGGAGCAAACAGG